AGCAUGUGAAAAGUGCGUGAACCCAGAGCCGUUUAAAAAUCCAAAUUGUCAAAUUAUGUCAAACAAAAUGUCAAAAUUUUGUGUCAAAUUGCCAAAAUCAAUCAAAUUCGUAAAAAUCGUCCUACGGGUUUUAGGUAUAUGGCGUUUACAAAGUUCCUCCGCAGGAACUUCGUGAGCAUAUCGUUCCCGACUGUCACUGCUAUCCUCAUAUUCCUCGACUGGAAUCAUACUAGGAAGUGGAAGGCGCUGAAACAGAAGUAAAAUGGCCAUCUUCGGUAUCACCUCUCGUUACGUAUGGUUUGCGGUUCCUAUCUCCGGAUUCCUCGUUGGAAAGUACUUGGACGAUCAAGAGACCUUGAGGAUGACCAACUUCAGAGACAAGUCGAAGCUGUACGGAGGCAUGGUGAAGGAAGGCGAAGCACCCUCUUGGCCUUGAAUUAUAAACCCUAAUUUAGUUGUAAUAAAGAUGGUAAUGUAAAAA